rnacentral:rRNA from 1 species
UACGAAGGUGGCAAGCGUUGUUCGGAUUAACUGGGCGUACAGGGAGCGUAGGCGGUAGGGUAAGCCCUUCGUGAAAUCUCCGGGCCUAACCUGGAAAGUGCGGAGGGGACUGCUCCGCUAGAGGAUCGGAGAGGAGCGCGGAAUUCCCGGUGUAGCGGUGAAAUGCGUAGAGAUCGGGAGGAAGGCCGGUGGCGAAGGCGGCGCUCUGGAACAUUUCUGACGCUGAGGCUCGAAAGCGUGGGGAGCAAACAGGAUUAGAUACCCUGGUAGUCCACGCCUUAGACGAUGGAUACUAAGUGUCGGCGGGUCACCGCCGGUGCCGCAGCUAACGCAGUAAGUAUCCCGCCUGGGAAGUACGGCCGCAAGGUUGAAACUUAAAGGAAUUGACGG